rnacentral:rRNA from 1 species
AUGUCUGGGAAUGUAUCAGACAGCUCAGGUAUUGGUGAAUCAGCUGAUGAGUUGUUGCAAACACCACAUAGUAGGCGAGCUAAAGUCUGGGAAUACUAUGAGCCAGAUUUGGUAGAGGUGCACAAUGUCCUGAAGGCUGUGUGUAAGUAUUGUUCCAUGAAAUUAGCAGGCAAGUCUGGGACGAAGAGCCUUAGAAACCACAUUGGCGAGUCUUGCCCCAAAAUCGAUGAUGAGUCCAGAAAUAGGUUUCUUGCAACAAUUAAGAAAAAACCAUCAGAUGUGGGGUUUGUUUUCGAUCCUCAGAGAAGCCGUCAGCUCAUGAUCAAAUAUUGCAUCCAUGCCGAGGUUGCAUUCAGGAAGUUUGACGAUCCUUACUUUGAAGAGUGGAUGGACUCGAUGCAGCCCACCUUUAAAGUCAUUCGGCGUCAGACUGUUCGCAACGACUGUGUGGACGCAUAUGAGCAAAUGAAGGAUCAGCUGCGCAUUGAGUUCCAGUCUCUUGAUUCCCGUGUUUGUUUGACCUCGGACAUGUGGACCUCUGUACAAGAACUAGGCUAUAUGUGUGUUACCGCUCACUACAUUGAUGGCAAUUUCAACCUGAAGAAGAAGGUCAUAUCCUUCAAAAAGUCAAGUAUCCGCACACAAGUGCGGCCAUUGAAGAGACUUUGGCAAGUGUUUGAAUGA